rnacentral:rRNA from 1 species
CCUACGGGAGGCAGCAGUAGGGAAUCUUUCACAAUGGGCGAAAGCCUGAUGGAGCAACGCCGCGUGCAGGAUGAAGGCCUUCGGGUUGUAAACUGCUUUUAUAAGCGAGAAAUAUGAUGGUAACUUAUGAAUAAGGAUCGGCUCACUCCGUGCCAGCCGCCGCGGUCAUACGUAGGAUCCGAGCAUUAUCCGGAGUGACUGGGUGUAAAGAGUUGCGUAGGUGGCAUAAUAAGUAGCUAGUGAAAUCUGGUGGCUCAACCAUUCAGACUAUUAGCUAAACUGUUAAGCUCGAGACCGUUAGGGGUAACUGGAAUUUCUAGUGUAGGAGUGAAAUCCGUAGAUAUUAGAAGGAACACCAAUAGCGUAGGCAGGUUGCUGGGACGGGUCUGACACUAAGGCACGAAAGCGUAGGGAGCAAACGGGAUUAGAUACCCUUGUAGUC